rnacentral:rRNA from 1 species
AUGGCGCCCUUACCAUGUCGCUCGUCCCUCCUCCUCCUGCUGCUCGUGCUCCCUUGCUGCCUCCUGCACCGCGCGGCCGCCCAGGCCGCCGACGAGGGGCGGCUGCUCAUGCAGAUCAAGAGCGUGUGGGGCGACCCGCCCGUGCUCGCGGCAUGGAACGGCUCGGGCGACCACUGCACCUGGCCCUACGUCACCUGCGAUGCCUCCGGGCGCGUCACGGGCCUCCACCUCGCCAACACCGGCGUCGCCGGCCCAUUCCCGGACGCCAUCGGCGGCCUCUCCGGCCUCACCAGCCUCAACAUCUCCAGCAACAACAUAACCGGCGCCUUCCCGACCAGCCUGUACCGAUGCGCUUCGCUCCGGGACAUCGAUUUGUCGCUUACGUUACUCGGCGGCGAGCUCCCCGACGACAUCGGCCGCGCGCUCGGGAAGAACCUCACCUCUCUGAUGCUCAACGGCAACUACUUCAACGGUACCAUCCCUGCCUCUUUGUCCCUGUUAAAGAACCUGCGGUCGCUCGCGCUGGACGGCAACUACCUCGCCGGCACCAUCCCGGCAGAGCUCGGCGCCCUGACGGGCCUUGAGACGCUGAAGCUCGCCUACAACCGGUUCAGCGUUGGCGAGCUGCCGGCGUCGUUCAAGAGCCUGACCAAGCUUAAAACCUUCUUUGCGGCAAACUGCAGCCUCACCGGCCACUUCCCGAGCUAUGUUGCGCAGAUGCCGGAGUUGGAGCUGCUUGACCUCUCGGUCAACGCCUUGAACGGAAGUAUACCUCCGGCGAUUUGGAACCUCACCAAGUUGCAAACUGUGGCUCUGUAUGCAAACAACUUCACCGGCGAGGUCGUCAUUGAUGAUGGUGCUUUCGGCGCGGUGAAUUUGGUGAUGAUAGACCUGUCCGCGAAUCACAGGCUUACUGGCCCAAUUCCGGAAAGUUUCGGCCUCUUGCCGAAGCUUAAUACCUUGAACUUGUUCAACAACAGCUUCUCCGGCGAGAUACCGGCGAGCAUCGGCAGGUUGCCUUCACUAGAGACACUGAAAUUGUUCAGCAAUCGUCUCACCGGCACGCUCCCGCCGGACCUCGGCAAGAACUCGUCGGCAGGUUUGAUGUAUAUUGAAGUUGAUGACAACGAGAUCACCGGCGCGAUUCCGGAGGGUCUUUGCGCCAACGGCAAGUUCCAGUCGCUCACCGCCUCUAACAACCGCUUGAACGGGCCCAUCCCGGCAGGCCUCGCCCGUUGCGCCACGCUCAACAACCUUCUGCUCGACAAUAACCAGCUCUCCGGCGAGGUUCCUGAAACAUUGUGGACGCAGACACAACUUGAAUACGUGCGGUUGCGGAAUAACCAGUUAAGCGGGAGUCUGCCCGUCAACAUGUUCAGCAGCCUCUCCAAUUUACACAUAGAGAACAAUCAGUUUAGUGGCAACAUCCCAGCGGUGGCCGUUGAACUCCAUAAGUUCACCGCCGGGAACAACAAUUUUUCAGGGGAGAUGCCGCCAAGUCUUGGCAGCGGCAUGCCGCUGCUGCAGGCAAUGAACUUGUCCGGUAACCAGCUCUCUGGCGGGAUCCCGAGGAGCAUAGCCAAGCUCGGCUCCCUGACGCAACUGGACCUGAGCAGGAAUCAGCUCGCCGGCGAGAUACCGGCCGAAUUGGGCGCCAUGCGGGUGCUCAACGCACUUGACCUGUCGUCCAACAGACUAUCCGGCGACAUACCGCCGCCGCUUGCCAGGUUACAGCUGAACCAGCUCAACCUGUCAUCCAACCAGCUCGACGGCCAGGUACCGGCAGGGCUCGCCACCGCCGCUUACGAUCGGAGCUUCCUCGGCAACCCCGGCCUCUGCCAUGCCGGUCUGGGGCCCGGCUACCUCACCGGCGUGCGCUCCUGUGCUGCGGGAUCACAAGCUGCCCCUUCCUCCUCGGGCGUCUCGCCGGCGCUCCGCACUGGCCUCCUGGCCGCUGCCGGCGCGCUCCUUGUCUGCAUCGUGGUCUUCGCCUUCUUCAUCGUCCGCGACAUCAGGAAAAGGAAGCGCGCGGCACAGGACGGUGGCUGGAAGAUCACGCCUUUCCAGACCGAUUUGGGCUUCGGGGAGGCGGCCAUACUCCGGGCGCUGACCGAGGAGAAUCUCGUCGGCAGCGGCGGGUCGGGGCGCGUGUACCGCGCGGCGUACACCAACCGGUACAACGGCAGCGCCGGCGCCGUGGCCGUGAAGCAAAUACGGAGCGCCGGGAAGGUGGACGAGAAGCUGGAGCGCGAGUUCGAGUCGGAGGCCGGAAUCCUCGGCGGCGUCCGGCACAAGAACAUCGUCAGGCUGCUGUGCUGCCUCUCGCGCGACGACUCUGCCGGCAAGCUCCUCGUGUACGACUACAUGGACAACGGCAGCCUCGACGGGUGGCUCCACGGCCACGCUCUCACCGACGGCGCCAGGCACUCCGUGUCGUCCGUGGCGAGGGCCCGAUCGGGUCGGCGCGACGCUGGUUUGGACUGGCCGGCGAGGAUCAGAGUCGCCGUGGGCGCCGCGCAGGGGCUCUGCUACAUGCACCACGAGUGCUCCCCGCCCAUCGUUCACCGGGAUGUCAAGACCAGCAACAUCUUGCUGGACUCGGAGUUCCGGGCCAAGGUCGCGGACUUCGGGCUGGCCAGGAUGCUGGCGCAGGCCGGCACGCCGGACACCAUGUCCGCCGUCGCCGGGUCGUUCGGCUACAUGGCUCCUGAGUGCGGCUACACGAGGAAGGUGACGGAGAAGGUGGACGUGUACAGCUUCGGCGUGGUGCUCCUGGAGCUCACCACCGGGCGGGCGGCCAACGACGGCGGCGAGGACGGGUCGCUGGCGGAAUGGGCGCGGCACCUGUACCAAUCAGGAGGAAGCAUCACGGAAGGCACAGACAGUCGCAUCAGAUACGCGGGGUGCUCGGACGAGAUCGAAGUCGUGUUCAGGCUAGGCGUGAUGUGCACGAGCGCGUCGCCGUCGUCGCGGCCGGCCAUGAAGGACGUGCUGCACAUCCUGCUCAGGUGCUGCGAGCAGACGCACCAGAAGGGCAAGGCGGAGCCUGGCCGGGAGUUCGAGGCAGCUCCCCUCCUGCUGCCGCAGCGCGGCAGCCGCCGGAAGCAGCUUUCGAACUCCAAGGGAUCCGACAGCGAGGAGAAGGGCGACUUCGACACCAUUGUCUGA